rnacentral:miRNA from 1 species
UCCACCCAGCAGCACAGGUCCUGUGCAGCAGGCCAACCCGAGAUGUGCCUGCGUCUCCCAUUUCCAGGCUGGCCUGCUGCACCAGACCUGUGCCUGAUCUUAAUGCCG